GCUGAUGUGGCUCAGGGGUAGAGUAGCGCACUCGUAAUGCGCAGGUCGUGGGUUCGAAUCCCACAGCUCCA
rnacentral:tRNA from 1 species